CUUUGAACAUCAUUCAUGAAUGCGCCCUUGUUGAAUUCGCCUGCUGUCAAAACAUGAAGUAAUUUCGCCCAAAAAUCUAGUCCAAUUGGAAAAUUAGCUGUCAAGUAAGCCUGUUUGUUUUGAUGUUUUGUUCUCUGCAGUUGUAAUUGCGCCCUUCUGCACUAGCUUGUUUUUUCAAUAAUUAUAAGCUAAAAAGUACUUUCCAAGUGAUAUUAUUACAUCAAGGCCUACAUUAUAGUCGCAGAUGGGUGAAUAGGAUUGCUCCGAAACGUUUGCCGCCUACAAUUUGGAGGGGUUCGAGGAACCCACUGAAGGCCAAGAUUUCCGUAAUCC